CUGCUUCACGAUACUUGGCUGCCGGAUAACAACGGAGAAAGGAAAUGUUGCCGGUCAAAGGGGAUCUCCUUUUACGGGAACGUGGCGGACCUCUUGCCCGAGGCCGUUCUCUCCCACCGCUUAGUCCAGUGCUCCUGCCGAUAGAAGGUUUUCGACUCCCUCCCUCGCGCCAGCUUUGCCGACGAGUUGGCCGCCAUAGCAUUGAGCCUGCGGUAAUGCUGACGCCGUGGCUAGAAUUCCGUAACGACGGUCCUGGGAUGUCAGCGGAGGAGGAGGGCUGGAGCCCACGGGCUUUGAGAAUUAAUUUCGGAAACAUCUUCUGGUCGGCGAUCUAGUGGAGUUGUUUCUGGCGUGUGCGACAGUGCGAACUAGUGGACUCGGGAAAGAAAGCUCAAGCGCAAAUCCGGCGUGGAGAAAUACCAGCUGCGUCCAAGAUGAGCAGAGAAAGAUCCGGGGGUCAUGGUGGAUGGCAAGAUGGAUGUGAGACAACAGUAUCAUUCUGUGAUUAAAAGCAACGUCGCACCGAGUCGGUACUGGCGGUCGAUGGCUCCAG